CACAUUCACUAACACUUUGAAUUUCUUCAAGAAGUUCCAAAAAUGAACUUUUACACGCCGCUGAGACAAAACUCUGCACAUUCAACAACGAGUUCCCUCCAGGCCCAUACGUGCCUUUGGAUGCUGAUGGGAGUCGUGUUAAUAAAAUACCAGGAUCUGCAAAUAAUUGUAUACUGCAAGACUACAGAAAUGAAACUGGCAGACAGUUUAACAGAAUAACAUGCUUCAUCUGCCCAGAGGCUGAAUACAAUAAAUUAGAAAAUGACAGUAGUGAUCCUGAAGAAGUGACAAUUCAUCCAAAACAUAAAAUAGAAGAGGACUCUGUCAGUGAUACUGUGCUUUUUGUCCACAGCUCCCCCAGGGAAAAAAUGAAAAAUCUAACUGCAAGGAGUAAAGAUGUGACAUAUCCAGAGGUUUACGCUCCAAUUCUAGUUGAAGUGACACUAGCAGCUCAUCAGAAGAUGAAUUUGCUCACAAUGUUGAUUGUUUUAAUGACAAAAUAGUUAGUGUGGAAGACAUCCUGGAAAAUUUAGCCACGCAGAUUAAGUCUGAAAGUCUCACAGAGCUGACAUUUGGGACGGAGCUCUACGUGGUUUUAGGUGUUCGUCCUUUGAUCCAGCGCACACCAUUUUAGUGACAUUCAGUGGUAAUACCGGCUACGUGGAGAGUGCCAUUGACACAGGAGGACCCAAGCGAGAAUUUUUAGAACUCCUACUUGACCUGUGACAGUGCUGGUGAGUAUUAUGAGCUGUCACAUCCUGUAGUGGACUGACAUCUUGUACGUGUGUGAUUUCUUGUCAUUUGCCCAGUGUAGCCAUUAUAUAAUGUGCAUUAACUACGGCUGAAAUAAGUUCAUUUAAGCAAUGG